GCAGGAUUGCGGACGGGCAGCACUCUUUCUGCAGAAGUCUGAAGGCUGGGAAGUCCGAGAUCAAGGUGCUGACUGAUUUGGUUCCUGGUGAGGGCCCUCCUCCUGGCUUUCCGAUGGCUGCCUUCUUGCUGUCUCCUUAUAAGACGAGGUCUCACUCUGUCACCCAGGCUGGAGUGCAGUGGCAUGAUCUCAGCUCACUGCAACUUCUGCCUCCCAGGCUCAAGAAAUCCUCCCACUUCAGCCUUCCAAGUACCUGGGACCACAGACGUGCACCACUAUGCCUGGAUAAUUUUUUUGUACAAACAAAAAGCCAAAGGUGAGGUUACAAAAUUGACUUUAUGUAGGGAGACCCCCUGAAACUAUUGCUAUGGAAUAAAAGACGAAAUGCUCCCGAUUAUUGUAAAUACGAAAUUGCAUGCAGGAUUGUGUAAAGACAAUGCCAGGUUGGACUGCCAUAACAAGCCAACAGCGCGUGAUGUGCUUCUCCCUGCAGAGAGCCUAUGAAUGGACGUGCAGUCAGGGAGGUUUCACAUCACCAAGAUUCCUAUCCCAGAAAAGCGGAUGUUCAUAGCUCUGGGAAUGGAAUGCGACCCUUGUGGAGAGCCUAUAAAUGGACGCAUGAGGGGCACCUGUCCAUGUGGAUAAGAUAGGGCUAUAAAUGCCCUCAACUUGCCACAGCUCUUCUAGGCCUCUUUAGGGUUAAGGCAUACUCCCUUCUGAGAAUUUCUGGUCUAACCGGUUGUCUAGUUUCAUGUCCUGUUUCUAUGGAUUGUUUGUAACCAGCUUUUGCUGCAACUGUUACUGCUGAUUAAUAUCUUGCUAAUCAUAGGUUAUGGAAAGACUGUGUUUCUGUUUUUUGACUCUGUUAGAAAUUACUGAUGCACACACUAUAUUAUAAAUUCUUAUCUCUGCAUACUGUACUUCUGCAUACAGAUGUUAUGUUAAAGAAUUACUUCAUCCCCAUGUGACCAUCUCACCUCAUAAUCAAAUGACCCUAAAUCCCUCACUAACCUACCCCCGCCCUCACUAAACUUAAUAAUAAAUGCUGGUAUAUCCAGUGCAUUGUUGGCGCUGCAGGACCAGAAGGCGGUGAC